rnacentral:lncRNA from 1 species
UAAAUGGAAAGCAGCCUUAGAGGGAAAGAAACUAGCAGCUCAGGGGAUUGAGAAAGGUUCCUGUAAAAAGUGGCUCUUGUGCUGUUAUUUGCAGUAAAUAAGAAUAUCAUUAUUGACCUACUGUUGGCUAACCUGCUGUGGUGCUUCAUUCAUCAAGAAGAAAAUCCCAGAAGAUCCCUCUGGCCCUUGUUAAAUUUCUAGUGAAGAAGGACCUGGGGGCCUGGGCCCCUCUUCUUCUCCCUUCAGUGGGGUGAGGACUCCAGCACCUUCAGAGAAGAGAAUCUGGAGCCCUUGGCUUUUCUUGCUCAUUGCCGGAGAGACCCAAGCUCUGGAGGACAAGCAUGCUGGGUCUGCAGUGAAAAUGUGUGAAUUUGCUUGCCCCGUUUGGAGACUGAUCAAUGGCAAGCAGAGCAAAGCAGCAGUGGGAGAUGCUGCUUAAACCACGGCUCCCCUGGGCCCCAUCAUUCAGUGCUCUGGUAAUAAAAUGGCCAGGACUAAAAAAAACCCUAUGAGA